rnacentral:rRNA from 1 species
CACGUAGGGCGCAAGCGUUGUCCGGAAUUAUUGGGCGUAAAGAGCUCGUAGGCGGUCUGUUGCGUCCGCUGUGAAAACUCGGGGCUUAACCCCGAGCCUGCAGUGGAUACGGGCAGACUAGAGGUAGGUAGGGGAGAAUGGAAUUCCCGGUGCAGCGGUGAAAUGCGCAGAUAUCGGGAGGAACACCGGUGGCGAAGGCGGGUCUCUGGGCAGUAACUGACGCUGAGGAGCGAAAGCGUGGGUAGCAAACAGG